rnacentral:lncRNA from 1 species
UUCCAUGUCUAUCAUCUAUUUAUCCAUCCAUCAUUCACUCAUCCACCCAUCCAUGUAUCUAUCUAGCCAUCUAUCACCUAUCUCUCCAUCCCUCCCUCCCUCCUUCCCCCCCCCAACCCCACUCUCAGAAGCUAAAGAUUCCACAUGACUCAGAGGCAGCGUCUAUGGAAUUUUACCAUGUGUGUUCCUGGGAAGAACCCUCAGGAUUUCCCUGUCAUCUGUCCUUUGCAUUCUGACCGAUGGCACACCUGUGGCCAAAAUCUAGGAAAACUGCACGAUUUUCAUGGUGUUUUCUUUGGUUGGCUUGUUGGAGUUCAUGUUUGUGACUGGCUCCAAUUUAGGACACGCCCAGGGGCCCGUCCUUUCCUCUGUGCACAACAGUUGGGCAACUUGGUCAUCUGGAAUCAACGACACCUGCUCAGGCCAGCUCUCCAAGGGGCCGGGACACCACGGAAGCCGGGGGAAAGGUGGAGUUGGGAAGUAUAGACCUUCCGAGUUGCAAGUGUUCUCAACAACGUUCCCGGACCACGUGGAGUCAGCCACAUUCCAAGCAUCUCUAAUCCGGGCAGACGUCCUCAUGCCACGGAUGUGUAGAAGGAUGCAACCUACCCUCCACUUUUUUCCAGCUUCUCGAAACAUGUCGGGCAGGUGCCCUGAGGCUCCCAGGUCAGAGGGAGGCUCCUCGGAAGUGACGGCUGAGUCGUAGGGAAACCGGAAUGCCCUGGUCAACGGGGCCCCAGGCGCCCCACCCGUGCCUAAGAGCGAGCGAUGUGUCCAACUGGAAAGCGGCAGAGCCACGCGUAGGCCGCCAACGGGAAGGAGACCAUCGGGAAGGGUUCACUCGAAAAUGGGAAAGAUGAGGCUGGCUGGAGCCGUGGUCUGCUGCUCCAGCCGGUCGGUCAGUCAGUCGGUCGUCAAGCCAAC